rfam:Schistocephalus solidus strain NST_G2 genome assembly, scaffold: SSLN_scaffold0010297
GGCCUUGUAGUUCAGUUGACUAGAGCGUUGGCUGUAUUUAAGCUUUCCCCUUUCUGGCGUGGGUUCGAAACCCACCAAAGCCA